rnacentral:sRNA from 1 species
UACGCCUUGGGGUCCGUUAAGGGCAUUUU